rnacentral:rRNA from 1 species
GGCGUAAAGAGCUCGUAGGCGGUUUGUCGCGUCUGUCGUGAAAGUCCGGGGCUUAACCCCGGAUCUGCGGUGGGUACGGGCAGACUAGAGUGCAGUAGGGGAGACUGGAAUUCCUGGUGUAGCGGUGGAAUGCGCAGAUAUCAGGAGGAACACCGAUGGCGAAGGCAGGUCUCUGGGCUGUAACUGACGCUGAGGAGCGAAAGCAUGGGGAGCGAACAGGAUUAGAUACCCUGGUAGUCCAUGCCGUAAACGUUGGGCACUAGGUGUGGGGACCAUUCCACGGUUUCCGCGCCGCAGCUAACGCAUUAAGUGCCCCGCCUGGGGAGUACGGCCGCAAGGCUAAAACUCAAAGGAAUUGACGGGGGCCCGCACAAGCGGCGGAGCAUGCGGAUUAAUUCGAUGCGACGCGAAGAACCUUACCAAGGCUUGACAUGUUCUCGAUCGCCGUAGAGAUACGGUUUCCCCUUUGGGGCGGGAUCACAGGUGGUGCAUGGUUGUCGUCAGCUCGUGUCGUGAGAUGUUGGGUUAAGUCCCGCAACGAGCGCAACCCUCGUUCCAUGUUGCCAGCACGUAAUGGUGGGGACUCAUGGGAGACUGCCGGGGUCAACUCGGAGGAAGGUGGGGACGACGUCAAAUCAUCAUGCCCCUUAUGUCUUGGGCUUCACGCAUGCUACAAUGGCCGGUACAAUGGGUUGCGAUACUGUGAGGUGGAGCUAAUCCCAAAAAGCCGGUCUCAGUUCGGAUUGGGGUCUGCAAAUCGACCCCAUGAAGUCGGAGUCGCU